UGCAUUCGAUACUGGUGAGCUAGAGUAUGGGAGAGGAUGGGUAGAACUCCAGGUGUAGCGGUGAAAUGUGUAGAGAUCUGGAGGAAUACCGAUGGCGAAGGCAGCCAUCUGGCAUAAUACUGACGCUGAGGUACGAAAGCAUGGGGAGCAAACAGGAUUAGAUACCCUGGUAGUCCAUGCCGUAAACGAUGUCUACUAGCCGUUGGGGCCUUUGAGGCUUUAGUGGCGCAGCUAACGCGAUAAGUAGACCGCCUGGGGAGUACGGUCGCAAGACUAAAACUCAAAUGAAUUGACGGGGGCCCGCACAAGCGGUGGAGCAUGUGGUUUAAUUCGAUGCAACGCGAAGAACCUUACCUGGCCUUGACAUACUAGAAACUUUCCAGAGAUGGAUUGGUGCCUUCGGGAAUCUAGAUACAGGUGCUGCAUGGCUGUCGUCAGCUCGUGUCGUGAGAUGUUGGGUUAAGUCCCGCAACGAGCGCAACCCUUUUCCUUACUUGCCAGCAUUUCGGAUGGGAACUUUAAGGAUACUGCCAGUGACAAACUGGAGGAAGGCGGGGACGACGUCAAGUCAUCAUGGCCCUUACGGCCAGGGCUACACACGUGCUACAAUGGUCGGUACAAAGGGUUGCUACACAGCGAUGUGAUGCUAAUCUCAAAAAGCCGAUCGUAGUCCGGAUUGGAGUCUGCAACUCGACUCCAUGAAGUCGGAAUCGCUAG
rnacentral:rRNA from 1 species